rnacentral:rRNA from 1 species
GAUGAACGCUGGCGGCGUGCCUAAUACAUGCAAGUCGAGCGGACAGAUGAGGAGCUUGCUCCUCUGACGUUAGCGGCGGACGGGUGAGUAACACGUGGAUAACCUACCUAUAAGACUGGGAUAACUUCGGGAAACCGGAGCUAAUACCGGAUAAUAUAUUGAACCGCAUGGUUCAAUAGUGAAAGACGGUUUUGCUGUCACUUAUAGAUGGAUCCGCGCCGCAUUAGCUAGUUGGUAAGGUAACGGCUUACCAAGGCAACGAUGCGUAGCCGACCUGAGAGGGGGAUCGGCCACACUGGAACUGAGACACGGUCCAGACUCCUACGGGAGGCAGCAGUAGGGAAUCUUCCGCAAUGGGCGAAAGCCUGACGGAGCAACGCCGCGUGAGUGAUGAAGGUCUUCGGAUCGUAAAACUCUGUUAUUAGGGAAGAACAAAUGUGUAAGUAACUAUGCCCGUCUUGACGGUACCUAAUCAGAAAGCCACGGCUAACUACGUG